UAUUAUCACAGUAAAUCCUGAUAAUUGUUAUGGCUCGAAAAAUUUCUAUGGAAUUUUCAUUAGAAAUGAAUUGAUGCAUCUUACAACUAUAAUUUCGAAUGUGGUUUCACAGCGAGGCGAAUCUAAUAGCAUUUGGAUUGCAGUUUUGAACUAGAUAAUAUCAGGCGACCUAUCCGACUGUGAAAAGCUAUUAUAACGGAGUCUCAGCGGUCCAUGUUUGGGGCAAACUAAUUUAUGACUGACUAUGGAAGAACGAUCCUUGUUAAUGCUAAAUCAAUCCACAAUUAUGAAUAGGGGACAAGGAAUUCCAAGUGCAUCCAUCAUAGGAGGAACAGGAAAACGGAUAUGGAGGAUAGGAGAUAAUUGCCAAACUGUGUUUUCAUUUAAGCAGUUAUCGAACAUCAUUACCCAAAUACUCUGCGACGUAACUCGGUACCGAGGCGGUCUCUUCUCUACCAGCAACAGAAAUAGGAGACAAUGGAGCUGGAGAAAUGGCAAAAGAUAGCCACAAGUUUUGCAAGGAUAUGAUGGGAGUUCUGCAGCAAUCUGGGAAAGAUACGUUUUCGGCAAUCGUUGACACAGUGAAAGCAGCUGGCUCAGCCGUUGGUUUCUGCGCAGUAGAGUGCUUGAAAAUCUUCGAAAAAGCCAUCAAAAGUGUAAUCACUUUGAACUUCAAGGAACUUGCCAAUCAAGUGGUGAAGUUUGGUCAAUGUUUCUUAGAUUGUGUUAAACAAGUGCUCAACAUUUUCAAGGUGGGCUUCCAAGGUGCAAAUAAAGUGAAAAAUACUAUCAUGAGUGGUGUUGGAAGUUCAAAGGUGCCCAAUAUCAAAUUAUUUUAGCAUUCUGAAAAUGAAUCUUAAUUUUUUCCCGUUUGUGUUUAAUAAAUUUUUGUGAAAUUUGUAGAUCGAAUCUAUAAAUUUGAGUUCAAUAUUGAAUAUUCUAUUGUUUACUUGGAGUAUAGAAGAAAUCUCAUUUACAAAAUGAUCCAGUAAUGCUCAUGUUACUCUUGUACUAUAAAAAACAAAAAAAUCGAUAGGAGCUUAUCGAGAUUUUUCUAUUCCACGCAGAUUUUCCAAUAGUCCUUGUAUUUAGGCCUAUUGGGUGCAUCCGUCCAUCGAUACUAACUUUGUAAAAUCCAGUUGAUUAGAAAUCAAUCUGAAAACACAAAAUUAAAACUUGUCUUGAUCCAUCAAUCUUGAACAAAUAAUGAGGCAUGUAACUAAGGAAGUUACAGGAAAGAUUUUAUUUUCUAAUAAUAAAGAUUAACAAAUGUCAGAUGCAUCCUUUUAUUCUUCUUUUUUAGGCCAAUACAACAUUCAUGAAAUCCAUUUGUAUAAAUAUAACUCGAAGUGGAUUUUACUAUAAUAUAGUUCCGUUUUAAUAAAAUACAUCAUUUCUAUUUCAAAAUACAUGUCUUAAAAUGCUCACCAUAGAAUUCACAAUACAAAUAAAUUCGACAGACAUUAAUCCAAAUAUUUCCCCUGGUUCAAGAUGAUAUUAUUGCAAAGCAUACACUAAACAAUCAGUUGCAUCCAAUGGGUUAGAGCUCAAAACUACUGAAA
rnacentral:misc_RNA from 1 species